rnacentral:lncRNA from 1 species
CCGCCGCCGCGCUCCCCGCGCCCGCCGCCGCCCGAACCGCGCUCUCCGCGCUCCCCUCCGGCCCUGCCCGGAGCCGGUGCGGCCCGCCGGGGGCGGCGGGGGGAGCCGGGGCCGCCGGGGCCGCCUCUCACCUCGCUCGGGGCGGCGGGUCGGGCCCGCGCGCGUGCCCGGCCGUGCGCACGCGCCGGGGCGGAUGCGCGCGCCCCCUGGCGGAACCCGGCGCGCGCCACAAGCCCCGCCCCGCCCCGCCCCUCACGGGGCCUGAGGGAGCCGGGCCCGGCCGGAACAGCGGGACCAGGACAGCGGGAGCGGGGCAGGGCAGGGACCGGGACAGCGGGAGGGGGACAGCGGGACCCGGGCUGGGGAGGGACCGGGAUCACACUGAGGUACACAGGCCGUGCCAGCCUCGUGUCCCGCGGGGAACAGCCCCGGGCCCCUCUGCCUGCCCGGGAGAGCCCCGCGCUUCUCCCACGGUUACCGGAGCAGCUCCCCCGGUCCUGAUGGUGUUCGACCUCCAUCCCGGCAGCUCUAGAGCUGCACUCCAGGAAGAUCCAGCUGGAUACUCUGGGAUGAAUUCAGUGCUCACACGCUGCUACCUGGAGGUUUUAGUGAGUGAGGUCACUUUCAUUUGCUAUUUGGAAUUAUUUGCUGAUAAUUUGUGCUCCCCUGCAGCCCAGUGCAGGAGUGCAGGCCGAGCCCCAGGUGAAACACAACACUUUUGUGGUUCAAACCCAGAGGCCACACACACAGAAAUCAGGGGGAGCAUUGUCAGGCCUCUCUCUCCCUGCUCUCGGAGGGAUUUCUCGGCGCCGUUGGGAGGAGUUUUUGUGGCGUUUUCUGCCUCGGACACACGGUGGCGAUGGAAAUCACCUUUUCCUGCAGAGCUUCGGUCUUUGGACUGCUCGCUAACCACACGUGUGUGUGUCCCAGCAUGGAAGGAUGAAAUAUUUCUGUUCAAUCCCAAAUAAACGCUGACGUUUCAAUUGGCCGCGGAUCCAGAGAAUCCAGAACACUUUCUCGCUGGCAGUGUCACCGACCCUCACCCGGGCUGAUCUGCUGUGUUUGCACUGGGGCUGUCACCAGAGCCUGGUCAGGAGAGGUGGGACCAGCACUUGGCGUCACCAGAGGUAAAAACAUUUCCCCCGUGUGUUUUGGAGUUUGGUAACUCAGGCUGAACUUCCUUUUUUUGAGAGAGCAGCGUGGCAUGAGUUCCCAGUGCACGUGCUUGGAAUCAUGGAUGAGAGUCAAUAACUGUGGCCAGUUUUGGAGCAGGACAGGGAGAGGUGUCAGGUGCAUUUACCACCCCUCCUGCAAAGCAGAACACGGUUAUGAUUCAAACAUUUAAAAGAAACCCAUUGCAAAGUGUGUGUGUGAACCCUGUGAAACAAUUGAAACACAGAUUAUUCCUGCCCAGACUUGAAUCCCAGGAUUGUUAUGUUGGAAAAGACCUGGAUUGUUAUGUGGAAAAGACCACAUCCAGGCAUGGGGACCCCUCCACUGUCUCCACUUGAAUUUCAUGGAAUCUCCUGAGUUGGAAGGGCCCCACAAGGAUCAGCCUCACUGUCCCCAGCUGAUCAUUGCAGUGCCCUCAGCCUCUCCUCACAUGCCUUUUCCUCCAGACCCCCCACCAUCUUCAUAGCCCAAAAAAUAACAAUUUUUUAAUUUUAUUUCCUUCCAAAUCCAAAUCCACGCUGGGUUUUUAAGGCUAAUGUCUUUAACUCUCUCUUUUCCACGUGUUCGUGUCUCUGUGUGCCCUUGACUGGAGGAGUUGCUGCAGAUUUCAGAGAGUGAGGCAAUCCCUCCCCAGCAGUGUUUGGACAGCGUUUGGAGCUGGCUGGAUGUGCUGGGCUGGGCAGGCAGAGUGCAGGUGCAGGUUUUAGCAGGCCUGGAGCUCUGGGAGCAGCAGCCAGGAUGAACUCAGAGCCUGAUGUAAUCUCUGGUUUGGUAAGUUCUGUAUGUGGUUAUUAUCAGUGAUUUGGGACCAGCCCCUCAGCAAGCCAAGCACUCCCCCUCACUCCUGCAGCACUUGGGAUUUAGCACUGAGAGGAUUAACCAACACCAAACCCUUCUCUUCAUCUCCUCCAUGGAAUAAUUACUGAGGGAGGAUUCUUUGUGUGAAGGACACAUCUAUAGCUAUGCAUUUAUGUCUACAGAGGUAUAAAUAAAACUGUCCAUGCACAGAUUUCCCA